GAUGAAGAACGCAGCGAAAUGCGAUAAGUAAUGUGAAUUGCAGAAUUCAGUGAAUCAUCGAGUCUUUGAACGCACAUUGCGCCCCCUGGUAUUCCGGGGGCAUGCCUGUCCGAGCGUCAUUGCUGCCCUCAAGCACGGCUUGUGUGUUGGGCCUCCGUCCUCCUCCCGGGGGACGGGCCCGAAAGGCAGCGGCGGCACCGCGUCCGGUCCUCGAGCGUAUGGGGCUUCGUCACCCGCUCUUGUAGGCCCGGCCGGCGCUUGCCGACACAUCAAUCUUUUUUCCAGGUUGACCUCGGAUCAGGUAGGGAUACCCGCUGAACUUAAGCAUAUCAAUAAGCGGAGGA
rnacentral:misc_RNA from 1 species